AGAUCUUGUAAAUUCUAUUAUCUUUGCGUUUGUCAGGUUCUAUAUAUAUAUAUUUACAAAAGGAAGGAUGUCGUUACACCGGGUUUGAUGUUAUUGUUUCUUCCCUUUUGUGUUGUUUAUCGUUCAACUAACUACAGGUAGUUAUAGGUGGGUUGGGUUACGGUGUGUUCGAACCUGACCCUCACAAUAACCAGGUUAUAUGCGGAGGUGCAGUCACUCAGCCAUCAACAUCACUGCAUAUAACCUGAUUAUUGCUGGUGUGUGUUCAAUUUCAUGUUCAUACAUACAGAAUACUUGUAUUUAGUAAGAGAAAUACUAUUAAAUUCAGAUACAUGUGACUUUGCAUACAGAAAGUUAUAUAACCACUAGCUAAAUGAUCUGCUUGACUUCAUUUCUACUAAAGAGCUACUGAUUCCAGACACUGUGUAGAAGUGCAAGUCAACUGCCUGAGUAUUGUACACAGCUCAUACAACUAGACCUAACUCUAUAAUAAUAAUAUAUAUACAUCUAUAAUAAUAAUGGAGAAAUGGAGAUUAGACUGGCCGUGUGACCAUGCAUGGGACUGGGACCAAAUUUUUCCUCAGUCCCAUUAUUAGAUAUCUUAGUUCUGGUCCCAUAUAGUGUUUAGUAAAUUAGUCACUUUACACUGUUUAUAUUAUAAAUCUAGUCCC
rnacentral:sRNA from 2 species